ensembl:snRNA U6 U6 spliceosomal RNA
UUGCUUCAGCAGCACGUGUAUUAAAAUUGGAAUGAUACAGAGAUUAGCAUGGCCCUGCGCAAGGGAGACAUGCGAAUCUGUGAAGUGUUCCCUAUUUUA